rnacentral:rRNA from 1 species
GAUGAACGCUGGCGGCGUGCCUAAUACAUGCAAGUCGAGCGAACAGACGAGGAGCUUGCUCCUCUGACGUUAGCGGCGGACGGGUGAGUAACACGUGGAUAACCUACCUAUAAGACUGGGAUAACUUCGGGAAACCGGAGCUAAUACCGGAUAAUAUAUUGAACCGCAUGGUUCAAUAGUGAAAGACGGUUUUGCUGUCACUUAUAGAUGGAUCCGCGCCGCAUUAGCUAGUUGGUAAGGUAACGGCUUACCAAGGCGACGAUGCGUAGCCGACCUGAGAGGGUGAUCCGCCACACUGGAACGGAGACACGGUCCAGACUCCUACGGGAGGCAGCAGUAGGGAAUCUUCCGCAAUGGUCGAAAGCCUGACGGAGCAACGCCGCGUGAGUGAUGAAGGUCUUCGGAUCGUAAAACUCUGUUAUUAGGGAAGAACAAAUGUGUAAGUAACUAUGCACGUCUUGACGGUACCUAAUCAGAAAGCCACGGCUAACUACGUG